rnacentral:rRNA from 1 species
GUACAUGCCUAUAGCAUAGUGUUAAUUCGUCGGAUCCCAUUAGAACUUAGCAGUUAAGCGCGCUCGGGCUAGAGUAGUACUAGGAUGGGUGACCACCCGGGAAUUCCUAGUGUCUUACAUG